UAGAGGAAGUAAAAGUCGUAACAAGGUUUCCGUAGGUGAACCUGCGGAAGGAUCAUUAAAAGAUAUAGCAUACUCUUUGGAGCAUACUUUAUAAACCCUUUCCGAGUACCUUGCCUGUUGCUUCCGUGGAGCAGUAACUCCGGUUACCCUCUGACGAUGACCUCGGUCAUUUCCUGGGAGUCUCCGCGGGAGGUAUACAUUAAACUCUUGCAUUACCAUGUCAUCUGUCUGAACCUGUUUAUAACAAAUGUUAAAACUUUCAACAACGGAUCUCUUGGUUCUCGCAUCGAUGAAGAACGCAGCGAAAUGCGAUAAGUAGUGUGAAUUGCAGAAUUCAGUGAAUCAUCGAAUCUUUGAACGCACAUUGCGCCUCCUGGUAUUCCGGGAGGCAUGCCUGUUCGAGCGUCAUUAAAAACCACUCAAGCUCUUUUGCUUGGUCAUGGGAGAGGAGUGUGCCUUAGUACGCUCCCUUCCGAAAUUCAAUGGCGGAAAGCCCCACGUGCCCCGGCGUAGUAAGUUUUCUUUCGCUUGGAACGUGAGGUGAUCCUGCCCUCAACCCCCGAUCUUUCUAGGUUGACCUCGGAUCAGGUAGGGAUACCC
rnacentral:rRNA from 1 species